rnacentral:rRNA from 1 species
CGCCUUAUACUCCUACGGGAGGCAGCAGUGGGGAAUAUUGCACAGUGGGGGAAACCCUGAUGCAGCCAUGCCGCGUGUGUGAAGAAGGCCUUCGGGUUGUAAAGCACUUUCAGCGAGGAGGAAAGGUCAGUAGCUAAUAUCUGCUGGCUGUGACGUUACUCGCAGAAGAAGCACCGGCUAACUCCGUGCCAGCAGCCGCGGUAAUACGGAGGGUGCAAGCGUUAAUCGGAAUUACUGGGCGUAAAGCGCACGCAGGCGGUUGGAUAAGUUAGAUGUGAAAGCCCCGGGCUCAACCUGGGAAUUGCAUUUAAAACUGUCCAACUAGAGUCUUGUAGAGGGGGGUAGAAUUCCAGGUGUAGCGGUGAAAUGCGUAGAGAUCUGGAGGAAUACCGGUGGCGAAGGCGGCCCCCUGGACAAAGACUGACGCUCAGGUGCGAAAGCGUGGGGAGCAAACAGGAUUAGAAACCCCUGUAGUCCACGUACCA